rnacentral:snoRNA from 1 species
CCUGGUGUAUAUGAUGACUGCACUUUUUUCCCCAUCAGAUCGACCAUGUUGAUCUCACUACACUAUGCCAGGUUCAAUCUGAUGCACCAGU